rnacentral:rRNA from 1 species
GUAUUAAAGGCGACGCCUGCCCAGUGAAUAAUUAAACGGCCGCGGUACCCUAACCGUGCAAAGGUAGCAUAAUCAUUUGUCUAUUAAUUGUAGACCUGUAUGAAAGGCAAAAUGAGAGCCCAACUGUCUCUUAUAACAAAUCAAUAAAACUGAUCUCCUAGUACAAAAGCUAGAAUACUAUCAUAAGACCAGAAGACCCUGUGAAGCUUUAACAAACCCAUUAAAUCAAAUAAUGAUUACUUUCGGUUGGGGCGACCUUGGAAUAAAAAAGAACUUCCAACAUAUGACUGCUCAUAAAAUAAGGCAAACAAGCCAAUACUAGACCCAGCACAGCUGAUAACUGAAAUAAGUUACUCCAGGGAUAACAGCGCUAUCUUCUUUAAGAGCCCAUAUCAAAAAGAAGGUUUACGACCUCGAUGUUGGAUCAGGACAUCCCAGUAAUGCAUCAGUUACUAAAGGUUCGUUUGUUCAACGAUUAAUAGUCCUACGUGAUCUGAG